UACGUAGGGUGCAAGCGUUAAUCGGAAUUACUGGGCGUAAAGCGUGCGCAGGCGGUGAUGUAAGACAGUUGUGAAAUCCCCGGGCUCAACCUGGGAACUGCAUCUGUGACUGCAUCGCUGGAGUGCAGCAGAGGGGGAUGGAAUUCCGCGUGUAGCAGUGAAAUGCGUAGAUAUGCGGAGGAACACCGAUGGCGAAGGCAAUCCCCUGGGCCUGCACUGACGCUCAUGCACGAAAGCGUGGGGAGCAAACAGG
rnacentral:rRNA from 1 species